GACGAAGGGGGCUAGCGUUGUUCGGAAUUACUGGGCGUAAAGCGCGUGUAGGCGGUUGUCCAAGUUGGAUGUGAAAGCCUUGAGCUCAACUCAAGAAAUGCAUUCAGGACUGGAUGACUAGAGGACCGGAGAGGAUAGUGGAAUUCCCAGUGUAGUGGUGUAAAUACGUAGAGAUUGGGAAGAACACCAGUGGCGAAGGCGGCUAUCUGGACGGUUUCUGACGCUAAGA
rnacentral:rRNA from 1 species